UACGUAGGGUGCGAGCGUUGUCCGGAAUUACUGGGCGUAAAGAGCUCGUAGGUGGUUUGUCGCGUUGUCCGUGAAAACUCACAACUCAAUUGUGAGCGUGCGGGCGAUACGGGCAGACUGGAGUACUGCAGGGGAGACUGGAAUUCCUGGUGUAGCGGUGGAAUGCGCAGAUAUCAGGAGGAACACCGGUGGCGAAGGCGGGUCUCUGGGCAGUAACUGACGCUGAGGAGCGAAAGCGUGGGGAGCGAACAGG
rnacentral:rRNA from 1 species